rnacentral:rRNA from 1 species
CAGUCGCCGCGGUAAUACGUAGGGUGCGAGCGUUAAUCGGAAUUACUGGGCGUAAAGCGUGCGCAGGCGGUUACAUAAGACAGAUGUGAAAUCCCCGGGCUCAACCUGGGACCUGCAUUUGUGACUGUAUAGCUAGAGUACGGUAGAGGGGGAUGGAAUUCCGCGUGUAGCAGUGAAAUGCGUAGAUAUGCGGAGGAACACCGAUGGCGAAGGCAGCCCCCUGGGCCAACACUGACGCUCAUGCACGAAAGCGUGGGGAGCAAACAGGAUUAGAUACCCGCGUAGUCCCUGUCUCUUAUAC